CCUACGGGCGGCAGCAGUGAGGAAUAUUGGUCAAUGGCCGGGAGGCUGAACCAGCCAAGUCGCGUGAGGGAAGACGGCCCUACGGGUUGUAAACCUCUUUUGUCAGGGAGCAAGGUGCAGGUCGGGACCUGCUGGGAGAGUACCUGAAGAUAAAGCAUCGGCUAACUCCGUGCCAGCAGCCGCGGUAAUACGGAGGAUGCGAGCGUUAUCCGGAUGUAUUGGGUUUAAAGGGUGCGCAGGCGGGGGCACAAGUCAGCGGUAAAAUCGCGGGGCUCAACCCCGCUGCGCCGUUGAAACUGUGUACCUUGAGUGCGCGAAGGGUAGGCGGAAUGCGUGGGGUAGCGGUGAAAUGCAUAGAUAUAACGCAGAACGCCGAUCGCGAAGGCAGCCUACCGGCGCGCAACUGACGCUCAUGCACGAAAGCGUGGGUAUCGAACAGGAUUAGAUACCCGAGUAGUC
rnacentral:rRNA from 1 species